GACGAACGCUGGCGGCGUGCUUAACACAUGCAAGUCGAACGGAAAGGCCCUGCUUUUGUGGGGUGCUCGAGUGGCGAACGGGUGAGUAACACGUGAGUAACCUGCCCUUGACUUUGGGAUAACUUCAGGAAACUGGGGCUAAUACCGGAUAGGAGCUCCUGCUGCAUGGUGGGGGUUGGAAAGUUUCGGCGGUUGGGGAUGGACUCGCGGCUUAUCAGCUUGUUGGUGGGGUAGUGGCUUACCAAGGCUUUGACGGGUAGCCGGCCUGAGAGGGUGACCGGCCACAUUGGGACUGAGAUACGGCACAGACUCCUACGGGAGGCAGCAGUGGGGAAUAUUGCACAAUGGGCGGAAGCCUGAUGAAGCAACGCCGCGUGCGGGAUGACGGCCUUCGGGUUGUAAACCGCUUUCGCCUGUGACGAAGCGUGAGUGACGGUAAUGGGUAAAGAAGCACCGGCUAACUACGUG
rnacentral:rRNA from 1 species